UUUAUUGGAGAGUUUGAUCCUGGCUCAGGAUGAACGCUGGCGGCGUGCCUAAUACAUGCAAGUCGAGCGAAUGGAUUGAGAGCUUGCUCUCAAGAAGUUAGCGGCGGACGGGUGAGUAACACGUGGGUAACCUGCCCAUAAGACUGGGAUAACUCCGGGAAACCGGGGCUAAUACCGGAUAACAUUUUGAACUGCAUGGUUCGAAAUUGAAAGGCGGCUUCGGCUGUCACUUAUGGAUGGACCCGCGUCGCAUUAGCUAGUUGGUGAGGUAACGGCUCACCAAGGCAACGAUGCGUAGCCGACCUGAGAGGGUGAUCGGCCACACUGGGACUGAGACACGGCCCAGACUCCUACGGGAGGCAGCAGUAGGGAAUCUUCCGCAAUGGACGAAAGUCUGACGGAGCAACGC
rnacentral:rRNA from 1 species